GUACUAUUUGUUUGGUUUAAUCAGGAGGAUAGUGCAGAGGAAACCUGCAUGGCAAAUGCUUGGUAUGAGGUUUUGUCAGUUUUGCACUUGAUGGCUAUGCUAUGUUUCUCCGAAGCUAACCUAUUGCUACUUCCUAAGACAUCUAGUGACGGGUAUCAACCAAAACUAUCUGAAGAGAACAGACGUGCCUCCAUAGACAUUUUCUUGAAAGCCGCAGGCUAUUUGGAUUGUGCUCUUUCGCAAGUUCUUCCGCAACUUCCUCCCGAGCUCAGACCGGAUCUUCCAAUAGACCUAGCUGAAGGAAAUCUGCGAGCUUUUUCCAUGCAAGCAUUAGGCGAGGCUAUUGAUAUUCAGCUUGGGAUGGCAAUUGAUAGCCCCAAAGCCACCUUAGCGGUGAAGCGAAGGUUAGCAUGCGAAAUGGUCAAGUGUUGGCAUCAGGCUCAAGAUAGCAUCGCACAAGUGCCCCUCACCGAAGGUUGGGGACAAAAACAUCACGCCUAUGUCAAGUGGAAAUUCAUUGAAGCAAAAGCUACCGCAUAUUACUACCAUGGUAUGAUCCUCGAUG
rnacentral:misc_RNA from 1 species